UACGUAGGGUGCAAGCGUUGUUCGGAGUUACUGGGCGUAAAGGGUGCGUAGGCGGUUGUUUUAAGUUUGGUGUGAAAUCUCCCGGCUCAACUGGGAGGGUGCGCCGAAUACUGAAUGACUCGAGUGCGGGAGAGGAGAGUGGAAUUCCUGGUGUAGCGGUGAAAUGCGUAGAUAUCAGGAGGAACACCGGUGGUGUAGACGGCUCUCUGGACCGUAACUGACGCUGAGGCACGAAAGCGUGGGUAGCAAACAGG
rnacentral:rRNA from 1 species